rnacentral:misc_RNA from 1 species
UGUCAAGGAUGCUGCCGGAAAUGAUUUUGAUGGGUGGUGCUGGCCAGGUUCAUCAUCUUACCUGGACAUGUUAAGUCCAGAGAUUAGGUCAUGGUGGGGAGAGAAGUUUUCUUUCGAAAACUAUGUUGGUUCUACUCCUUCCUUAUAUAUAUGGAAUGAUAUGAAUGAGCCUUCUGUUUUCAAUGGUCCAGAGGUUACAAUGCCUCGAAAUGCUCUACAUCAAGGAGGUGUAGAACAUCGGGAAUUACACAAUGUCUAUGGAUACUACUUUCAUAUGGCCACUGCAGAGGGGCUAGUUAAGCGGGGUGAUGGAA